ACAGUAUUGGAAAGUCAAUAUAAAGAGAAAUAUCGCUGCAGUAAAGGUCGGGUACCCGAAACUCAUUUCCAAGAUAUGGCGUGGUAUACCAAAUAACAUAGAUACAGUGUUUCCUUACAAGGAUGGCAAAUUAUAUUUUUUUAAAGAUAAUUAUUAUUACAAGCUUAACUUCCAUACGUCUAGAGUUGUAAAGGAAAACCCACCUUAUCCCCACGAUGCUAGAAAUUCUUGGUUUGGCUGUAAUGAUCCAUAAAUUAGCGCUUUAUAAACAAGUGUACAAGUAAAAUAAUUAAAAUGAAAAAUUUGAAAUUCGUAAUUUUUUUUUUAAAGAUUGUUUGGGAUACACACAGUGAGUUGGUGCAUUUCCUGAAYAUCCGGAACCAAAUCCAGAAUUUCAGUGCUCCAGUUGUUAAAGAUAUUAUUUAUAUGAACAUUUUACUUAUAUUUUAAUUUUAUUAGGUAUUGGUUUUGAUUUAUGUUUAUUUAUUAAUAAUUUUAUAUAAUUAUGAUCGUUUUAUCUGAAUAAAUAACUUGUUUACGUUA